UGGGCAUACUUCCAAGUGUCAGCAGAAACUGAGUCCCCAGCCACAAUACAAUAGGCAGUGCCUGCUGUGUUUCAUUUUUGUUUCAGAUGGAUUGAAAUACAAGACACAGAAAGGAUUCUGUCUGGACUCAGACUUGCUCAAAAAGGGAUAAGUGAAAGA
rnacentral:lncRNA from 1 species